GUGCCAGCAGCCGCGGUAAUACGGAGGGUGCAAGCGUUAUCCGGAUUUACUGGGUUUAAAGGGUGCGUAGGCGGAUCUUUAAGUCAGUGGUGAAAUCCUCCCGCUUAACGGGAGAACUGCCAUUGAUACUAUUGAUCUUGAAUACAGUUGAGGUGGGCGGAAUGUGUCGUGUAGCGGUGAAAUGCUUAGAUAUGACACAGAACACCGAUUGCGAAGGCAGCUCGCUAAACUGUGAUUGACGCUGAGGCACGAAAGCGUGGGGAUCAAACAGGAUUAGAUACCCUGGUAGUCC
rnacentral:rRNA from 1 species